UCUGCGAUGGUGUAAUGGUAGCAUUUCUGCAUCAGUUGUGAUACCCGCCUUCGGGGGGGUGUCAAAGCGCAGAAGAUCGAGGUUCGAUUCCUCGUUGCGGAA
rnacentral:tRNA from 1 species